rnacentral:tRNA from 1 species
GCCUGGGUGGCUCAGUGGGUUAAGUGUCUGACUUCGGCUCAGGUCAUGAUCUCAUGGUUCGUGGGUUCCAGCCCCGCAUUGGGCU